rnacentral:rRNA from 1 species
GAUGAACGCUGGCGGCGUGCCUAAUACAUGCAAGUCGAGCGAACAGACGAGGAGCUUUCUCCUCUGACGUUAGCGGCGGACGGGUGAGUAACACGUGGAUAACCUACCUAUAAGACUGGGAUAACUUCGGGAAACCGGAGCUAAUACCGGAUAAUAUAUUGAACCGCAUGGUUCAAUAGUGAAAGACGGUUUUGCUGUCACUUAUAGAUGGAUCCGCGCUGCAUUAGCUAGUUGGUAAGGUAACGGCUUACCAAGGCAACGAUGCGUAGCCGACCUGAGAGGGUGAUCGGCCACACUGGAACUGAGACACGGUCCAGACUCCUACGGGAGGCAGCAGUAGGGAAUCUUCCGCAAUGGGCGAAAGCCUGACGGAGCAACGCCGCGUGAGUGAUGAAGGUCUUCGGAUCGUAAAACUCUGUUAUUAGGGAAGAACAAAUGUGUAAGUAACUAUGCACGUCUUGACGGUACCUAAUCAGAAAGCCACGGCUAACUACGUG